CAAAGUGAAGCUGCUCUCAGGCCAAGGGACAUGCGUGUCGUUUGACGAGGAUCAUCCAGACCGGGCCUUCGGCGAUAGCGCAACAGAGCACGUCGGCGAGGAGGUGGAGGAGGAGGUCGCCGAGGGUGGAAGUGGAGGCGUCGGCGCGGCGGAGGAGGUGCUCGGCCGAGGGGAAAUGGAGAAGCUCAUCGAAUGUGGCGAGGGGUUAACCCCUUUGGGGUCCGUCGGCGAGGAGGAG
rnacentral:lncRNA from 1 species